rnacentral:rRNA from 1 species
CUACGGGACGCAGUAGUGAGGAAUAUUGCGCAAUGGGGGAAACCCUGACGCAGCGACGCCGCGUGGAUGAUGAAGGCCUUCGGGUCGUAAAAUCCUGUCAGAAGGAAAGAAGUGUAUGGUAGCUAAUAUCUGCCAUACUUGACGGUACCUUCAAAGGAAGCACCGGCUAACUCCGUGCCAGCAGCCGCGGUAAUGCGGAGGGUGCAAGCGUUGUUCGGAAUUACUGGGCGUAAAGCGCGCGUAGGCGGUUUUAUAAGUCAGAUGUGAAAGACCACGGCUCAACCAUGGAAGUGCAUUUGAAAAUGUUAGACUUGAGUAUUGGAGGGGGUAGUGGAAUUCCCGGUGGAGAGGUGAAAUUCGUAGAUAUCGGGAGGAAUACCGGUGGCGAAGGCGACUAUCUGGCCAAAUACUGGCGCUGAGGUGCGAAAGCGUGGGGAGCAAACAGGAUUAGAAACCCUCGUAGUC